rnacentral:rRNA from 1 species
GACGAACGCUGGCGGCGUGCUUAACACAUGCAAGUCGAACGGAAAGGCCCUGCUUUUGUGGGGUGCUCGAGUGGCGAACCGGUGAGUAACACGUGAGUAACCUGCCCUUGACUUUGGGAUAACUUCAGGAAAUUGGGGCUAAUACCGGAUAGGAGCUCCUGCUGCAUGGUGGGGGUUGGAAAGUUUCGGCGGUUGGGGAUGGACUCGCGGCUUAUCAGCUUGUUGGUGGGGUAGUGGCUUACCAAGGCUUUGACGGGUAGCCGGCCUGAGAGGGUGACCGGCCACAUUGGGACUGAGAUACGGCCCAGACUCCUACGGGAGGCAGCAGUGGGGAAUAUUGCACAAUGGGCGGAAGCCUGAUGCAGCAACGCCGCGUGCGGGAUGACGGCCUUCGGGUUGUAAACCGCUUUCGCCUGUGACGAAGCGUGAGUGACGGUAAUGGGUAAAGAAGCACCGGCUAACUACGUG